rnacentral:rRNA from 1 species
CCUACGGGGGGCAGCAGUGAGGAAUAUUGGUCAAUGGACGAGAGUCUGAACCAGCCAAGCAGCGUGAAGGAUGACGGCCCUAGGGGUUGUAAACUUCUUUUAUAUGGGAAUAAAAUGUUCCACGUGUGGGAUUUUGUAUGUACCAUAUGAAUAAGGAUCGGCUAACUCCGUGCCAGCAGCCGCGGUAAUACGGAGGAUCCGAGCGUUAUCCGGAUUUAUUGGGUUUAAAGGGAGCGUAGGUGGAUUGGUAAGUCAGUGGUGAAAGUUUGCGGCUCAACCGUAAAAUUGCAGUUGAAACUGGCAGUCUUGAGUACACUAGAGGUAGGCGGAAUUCGUGGUGUAGCGGUGAAAUGCUUAGAUAUCACGAAGAACUCCGAUUGCGAAGGCAGUUCACUGGACUGCAACUGACACUGAGGCUCGAAAGUGUGGGUAUCAAACAGGAUUAGAUACCCCAGUAGUC